UGGGGAAUAUUGGACAAUGGGCGAAAGCCUGAUCCAGCCAUGCCGCGUGUGUGAAGAAGGUCUUCGGAUUGUAAAGCACUUUAAGUUGGGAGGAAGGGCAUUAACCUAAUACGUUAGUGUUUUGACGUUACCGACAGAAUAAGCACCGGCUAACUCUGUGCCAGCAGCCGCGGUAAAAAAGAGGGUGCAAGAGUUAAUCGGAAUUACUGGGCGUAAAGCGCGCGUAGGUGGUUUGUUAAGUUGGAUGUGAAAUCCCCGGGCUCAACCUGGGAACUGCAUUCAAAACUGACUGACUAGAGUAUGGUAGAGGGUGGUGGAAUUUCCUGUGUAGCGGUGAAAUGCGUAGAUAUAGGAAGGAACACCAGUGGCGAAGGCGACCACCUGGACUAAUACUGACACUGAGGUGCGAAAGCGUGGGGAGCAAACA
rnacentral:rRNA from 1 species